rnacentral:rRNA from 1 species
GUUGGUGGGUAAAGGCCUACCAAGGCGACGAUCUGUAGCUGGUCUGAGAGGACGACCAGCCACACUGGGACUGAGACACGGCCCAGACUCCUACGCGAGGCAGCAGUGGGGAAUUUUAGACAAUGGGGGAAACCCUGAUCCAGCAAAUGCCGCGUGUGUGAAGAAGGCCUUCGGGUUGUAAAGCACUUUUGUUCCGGAAAGAAACCUUUGCACUAAUACUGUGAG